AUGGAGGACGUCCGCGCCACCUACACCUUCGGCCGCGAGCUGGGCCGGGGCCAGUUCGGCGUCACCUACCUGGCCACCCACAAGUCCACGGGCUCCCGCUACGCCUGCAAGUCCAUCGCCGCCCGCAAGCUGGCCCGCGCCGACGACGUGGAGGACGCGCGCAGGGAGGUGCAGAUCAUGCACCACCUCACGGGCCACCGCAGCAUCGUCGAGCUGCGCGGCGCCUACGAGGACCGCCACUCCGUCAACCUCGUCAUGGAGCUCUGCGAGGGCGGGGAGCUCUUCGACCGCAUCAUCGCCCGGGGCCACUACUCCGAGCGCGCCGCCGCCACGCUCUGCCGCGAGGUUGUUAGUGUUGUGCAUAGCUGCCACUCCAUGGGGGUCAUGCACCGCGACCUCAAGCCCGAGAACUUUCUGUUUUUGAAUAAGAGGGAGGAUUCCCCGCUCAAGGCCACCGAUUUCGGGCUCUCCGUCUUCUUCAAGCCCGGCGAGCAGUUCAGGGAUCUUGUUGGGAGUGCAUACUAUGUGGCUCCAGAGGUGCUGAAGCGGCGAUAUGGAGCCGAGGCCGACAUUUGGAGUGCUGGAGUGAUCCUCUACAUUCUGCUCUCCGGCGUUCCUCCUUUCUGGGCAGAGAAUGAAGAAGGUAUAUUUGAUGCUGUUCUGAAAGGUCACAUUGAUUUCUCGUCUGAUCCCUGGCCAUCGAUUUCAAAUGGGGCUAAAGACUUGGUCAAGAGGAUGCUACGGCAGGACCCCAAGGAGCGGCUCACGGCUGCGGAAAUAUUGAAUCAUCCAUGGAUCAGAGAGGAUGGAGAGGCCCCAGACAAACCACUUGAUAUUACAGUGAUCAGUAGAAUGAAGCAGUUCAGGGCGAUGAACAAGCUUAAGAAGGUUGCCUUGAAGAUUGUUGCAGAGAGCUUGUCAGAGGAAGAGAUCGUGGGCUUAAGAGAAAUGUUCAAGUCCCUGGAUACUGAUAACAGUGGGACAAUUACUCUUGAUGAACUAAGGGCUGGCUUACCAAAGCUUGGGACCAAAAUUACUGAAUCAGAAAUAAGACAGUUAAUGGAGGCGGCUGAUGUUGAUGGAAAUGGGACCAUUGAUUAUGUUGAAUUCAUAUCGGCAACAAUGCACAUGAAUAGACUAGAGAAGGAAGACCACAUAUUUAAAGCAUUUGAAUACUUUGACAAGGACCACAGCGGGUACAUAACAGUUGAUGAGUUGGAGGAAGCUCUGAAGAAGUAUGAUAUGGGUGAUGAGGCAACAAUUAAAGAUAUCAUUGCUGAAGUGGAUACAGAUCAUGAUGGGAAAAUUAACUACCAGGAGUUUGUUGCGAUGAUGAAGAACAACAGUCCAGAGAUUGUUCCAAAUCGACGCCGCCUAUUUUAA
rnacentral:rRNA from 1 species